AGGAGCCACAGGCCUGCAGAGGGGUGGCUCCCCAGACACCCCCAGCAGGGCAGGUGGGGAAACUGAGCCUGAGGAACUGUAAGUAGCCAGCCCAAGACUGAACAGCCAGUAAGAGGCCAAGCCAAGAGGAAAACCCAGUUAAAGAUGUUGCAGGGCACUUCUGCAGCCUCCUGCAGACUCUUCAUAAAUAUUCACAAGUGGAAGCAGAGACUCUCAGUCAGAGAACGUUUCAUGGUGGUUGCAGCUCAGGGCCACCGCUUGGAGAGGUGCUGGGUCAGGGGCGGUGGAGGCAGCUCCCUGCCUUCCCCUGGGUUACCUGGGCCCAGAGUCGUCUGUUUCCUGGAUGCCAUGUCUGUGCAGCCCCUGCAGGAUGAGAGUGGUGGUGGCUGCAUGUUUGCCUGUGUAGUUUCUCAUACAUGUGUGCACAGGAGUGACACACACACAUCAGCUCUUACCUGGACCUGGCUUCCCCACCUUGGUCUGGUGCUGCUACUCUGAGUGGAGGAGUGAACCCUCACCUGCCCUCAGCUCCAGAGAAAGAGAGAAGUAUCAAUGUAAAAGAGAAACAUCAAUUGGUCACCUUCUCAUGCGCACCCUGAGCAGGAACUGAACCUGCGACCCUUCGGUCCACGGGCGACACUCCAGUCAACUAAGCCGCACCAGCCAAGGCAUUGCCGGGACAUGGUUAGAGGGAGAGGCUGCCCGGGAGCACCCUGGCCAUCCCAGGGGGACCAGGCAGGGGGCUGGGCUCCGGUGCCUGGGAGUUCCCCAUCCGAAAGGACAGCCUGGCUGUAAGGGCUUCCGACUUCAGUGCUGGCCUCCCUGGUCUCCAGCUGUCCUCCUCAACCUAUGUGGGGUGCCUCUACUGAUACAGCACAGGCCCACCCCCUUGCUGCUCAUAGUACUGACCAUCUUCCCGUGACCCCCAAGCCCCUGCUGGAGCUCAGCCCCUGGAGCCCUCCCUACCCCCGGGCUUGCGCAUGUGGGUCACGGCCUCAAGUGCUGCAUUUCACUUCCUUCCUCCUGUGAGCUGCUGCUCCUGCCCCAUCUCUCCAGCCAUGGAGGCAGGGCACAGAUAAAUAAGAACAAA